rnacentral:lncRNA from 13 species
CACAGCAGUGCCAGGUUGCACCUGUUCAAUCACAGUUCCCCUAGUGUUGUCUGGAUAACAGCAGUAGAGGGACACAAAGCAAAACAGGAGCAGAUCAACUUAGAGUCUCAGACUUGACUUUUCCCUCUCUUUCUGAAUUUUUGGUGCCAUUUUCACAAAACUCAUUAUUUACUUUGUUCCUGUUGACUGGGGAACCAAGGUCAUUGAGGUCUCUUAUGGCCCCAGGCUGGCAGAAGCUCCAUCUCAAUCCACACUUUCAUCAUCAUACAGUUUGGCAAGACAAAGUAUGGGCUGAAUAUAUAAUUUGAACAUAUAAUUAUUUCUUGAUAACUACAAAGCAAGUGCUGGAGGACUUCCAGAAUCCUUUGGUAUUGGAUGUACCUAGACAAAUGGUAUACUCAUGUGUAACACAGGUAAAGAAGAAAAACCAAUCCCAAGAGAAACUCUGUAGCGUAAGGCUUCUGUUCAGUGUGUGGCGAGUGGUACUGUGCUGCUAAGGACACUGUGCUAGAAUGAACAUUGUCUGGGUUCCAAUUGAGGUCUUUCACGCAUCAGCUGUGUGGCCUCAGAUGAGCCAUUUCAUAUCUCCGGCAUCCUCCUCUAUGAAAUGGGUGUAAUAAUAUCUGACCUACCUACUGCGUGGCAAUCUUGGAUCUAAACAGCCUUGGAUCUGUAGAACCAUUUUUAUAGAGCACUUUGCCUUAUUUGUACACAGUACAUUUGUACUUCUCAUUUCAUCUUUUAUCUGAUGCAAUCACCGAAUAACCCAGUGAGGUAGGAAAGCGCAGUUAUUAUCUUCAUGGUACAGAUGACUAAACUGUGAGCUCUGUAACAGCGUGUUCUGUCCUAGCCCCAAUCCCUAGAAUGGUGCCUGGCCACUAACGUUGCUGUUGACCAGUGUAGCCCAAUAGGAAUCACAGAGGCCAGUAAUAAAAGGGAUUAGGGCAUUGGUUUUGGAUCCA